rnacentral:rRNA from 1 species
GACGAACGCUGGCGGCGUGCUUAACACAUGCAAGUCGAGCGGAAAGGCCCUGCUUGCCGGGUACUCGAGUGGCGAACGGGUGAGUAACACGUGGGUGAUCUGCCCUGCACUUCGGGAUAAGCCUGGGAAACUGGGUCUAAUACCGGAUAGGAGCCAUUUUUAGUGUGAUGGUUGGAAAGUUUUUUCGGUGUAGGAUGAGCUCGCGGCCUAUCAGCUUGUUGGUGGGGUAAUGGCCUACCAAGGCGGCGACGGGUAGCCGGCCUGAGAGGGUGGACGGCCACAUUGGGACUGAGAUACGGCCCAGACUCCUACGGGAGGCAGCAGUGGGGAAUAUUGCACAAUGGGCGCAAGCCUGAUGCAGCGACGCCGCGUGGGGGAUGACGGCCUUCGGGUUGUAAACUCCUUUCGCUAGGGACGAAGCUUUUGUGACGGUACCUAGAGAAGAAGCACCGGCUAACUACGUG